rnacentral:rRNA from 1 species
GAUGAACGCUAGCUACAGGCUUAACACAUGCAAGUCGCGGGGCAGCAUGACAUCAGCUUGCUGAUGUUGAUGGCGACCGGCGCACGGGUGAGUAACGCGUAUCCAACCUGCCCUUUACUAUGGGACAGCCCGUCGAAAGGCGGAUUAAUACCGUAUGUUGUCAUGUUGAUGCAUAUUUUCAUGACCAAAGGCUUCGGCCGGUAAAGGAUGGGGAUGCGUCUGAUUAGCUUGCCGGCGGGGUAACGGCCCACCGGGGCGACGAUCAGUAGGGGUUCUGAGAGGAAGGUCCCCCACAUUGGUACUGAGACACGGACCAG